CGUACCCCUUUCGAGGAUCAAGCCGAACGUAGUUCAAUUGAUAGAGCUGGACAAGAGAUCGAACUGCCAGGGCGAGUUCGUCUAGUAAUCGAGUGCCAGUCAUAGAAACCGAACUUGUCGAAAAUAAGCCUAAAGUUUCUAAGUGCAGAGAAUUCCGAAUCUAAAAAGCUGUCCCCCAUGCUCCUCGCCUAGGACUCCUUAUAUACUAGCUCCAAGGUUGGUUUACGCUUUUACUCUUCUGCCCUUAAGCCGUCAUAGCGUAAAAAUGGAGAUAUUCCAUUAUUCCCGAUUUUCACAAUUAUCUUCAAAACUUCCGUAUUUAUCCGCGGAAACUUGACAUUUAUCCUUCCUUGUGGACCAAGCGUAAACCGGGCUGUGGUUUACGGGCCUUUGGUUAAGAAAUCGCAGGAUGGGCCUCGAGUCGUGUUUUAGGUCCCUUUGGGCCGUCUUCCGACUCGAAGAGUUUACUACGAUUUCUUUCGACAAAGAAAGAACUUUCCGCGGUUUCUAAUCCGCGAAGUUUGAUCGAUGAUUUAGAAUAGCGGAAAACAUAGACUGAGCUCGCUACGGUCUUCGGGAGAUAGCAUUUGAAGGUUUGACGAGAAUGCAUGGACUGGUGUCAUACCGAUGUUCGGAAGAGCUCGGUCGCUACGCAGCGACCGAACUUUGGCUCGAGCCCGAUCGCUACGUAGCGAGUGAGCGAGACGGACGCUCGGUCGCUACGUAGCGACCGAGCUUGGCUCAGGCUCGGUCGCUAGGUAGCGACCGAGCGAGAUGGACGCUCAGUCGCUACGUAGCGACCAGCGAGACGGAUGCUCGGUCGCUACGUAGCGACCAAGCGAGAUGGACGCUUGGUCGCUACGUAGCGACCGAGCGAGACGGACGCUCGGUCGCUACGUAGCGAUCGAGCUUGGCUCGGGCUCAGUCGCUACGUAGCGACCGAGCGAGACGGAUGCUCGGUCGCUACAUAGCGACCGAGCUUGGCUCCGGCUCGGUCGCUACGUAGCGACCGAGCGAGACGGACGCUCGGUCGCUACGUAGCGACCGAGCUUGGCUCUGGCUCGGUCGCUACGUAGCGAUCGAGCUUGGCUCGGGCUCGGUCGCUACGUAGCGACCGAGCGAGACGGACGCUCGGUCGCUACGUAGCGACCGAGCUUGGCUCAGGCUCGGACGCUCGGUUGCUACGUAGCGACCGAGCUUGGCUCGGGCUCGGUCGCUACGUAGCGACCGAGCUUGGCUCGAGCUCGAUCGCUAUGUAGCGACAGAGCUGUGUGCAUGCUUGGUCACCGCGUAUCGAUCGAGCUUGGCUUGUCCGCGGUCUGAUUUCCAUACUCGAGCUUGUCCGCAGCCGAUUUGGAUACAUGUCUGUUGCCUUCGGACAAUCGGCAUUUAGUGGUUCGAUUGAGAUUUGGACGAGAUUUUUACUGCAAGGCUCUUCGUAAAGAUAUAUUUACGAAGAUUACUUUUCGUAAAAACGUUUAUGCUGAUUUUUAUGGACUUUCAGACAUUGAUUCCGUCGUGACCGAUUUUGACCCCAACAGUUAGCCCCCCAGCUCGUUUGAACCAUGAGUUUCUAGCGUGAUGUUCUAGCGAGUGACUUGGCAAGUUAGGCAAUUUAGGUGAGUUAGGCGGAAGUAAUGGUUGAAAAGGUCUGUGGUAAGUGAUGUUCUCGCUCUCCUAAAAGUAGAAAACGCGAUAAGAUUGGGGCUGCGCCUUAUGACGGCUGCCUACGUACCCUUGUUGAAGGGAUCAAGCCUUUCGUAGUUCGUCUUGGAGUUAAGGUUCUUAUGACUAGUUUUCCAGUAGGACCUUUAUGGUCUAGUUUUUAUGUAGCAGUUUAUAAGGCGUGUUGCUGCCGAUGUGGCAUUUUGUAUGGGUGUAGAGGGAAGACUACGAGUUGUCGUCUCGUAAUCUAACUCUGUGUGAAUUGCCAUAUCCAUAAUCUGUUUCGAGAGUUUUCUGCAGUGUGUAAACUUGCGGGAUUUUCUGAAGACGUUCGAAUAUUGGCAAAGAGACAAAUUUUGGGAUCUCGUAUCAGGGUGUUUGAUACUAUGCCUAGAGAUGUUAGAGACCAGUGCGCUGGGUUUAGGGCAAGACCUAGGUUUACUUUCGGUUUAAGGAUUGUGCGGUGACUGGCCGGCUAUCAUUUUUCCUGUUGCGAUUUCUUCGAUUUAAAGUCCGCGAUAGGUUCUCGGCUUAUACGACUUGUUUGAUACGAAUCGAGCAUCUCUCUGGAGACCGGAAGUGCUGGACCAAAAUUUUGGAUUUCUUUUAUAGCGCUAUUAUCCUUGUGUCGGAUGUACGAGAGUCAUCUCUACGAGAUUGCUAAGUCUGUUUAGGACGUUGAGAGUUUGUUGUGAUCAGCAACAAAGUUAAUGGUAAAAAAUACCGUUUCGAGUCUUCGCGAAGGAUAUGUUUUGAGAAGAUGUUAGGGCGUAUGACUGUCUGGUCUUCCAAGAAAAUGUUUUUAUCGAGGAAGGAAAUUUCGUCGAAGAACGAAUCUUCAGGCGUCUGCGACGUCUCGCGAUGCUGAAGAUUUGUUAUUCUUUCGCAUGCCGCGUUUCGAGCUUGAAAUGUUCGCGGUUUGCAGAUGUUGCAAGGGUUUAGUCUUAGCCCUGCAUUUGAGAAACAUUCUGGUUUGACUACGAAUGUUCGCAGCCAAAAUUGUUGUUCAUGUUUGGAUACUAAUAGCUUUAUUUGCGAUCGAGGAAUUAUGACUGAGGUGUCGUGUAAAUUUGUCCAUGGGAACAAGCGUUUUCCUUCAUGGUUCUUUGUGAAGAGUUGGCCUUCCGAGAUGUAUUUCGUGCAUUUUUUAGGAUGUUUCGUAUAGCUCUAGAAGCUUUGUUACAAAUUUUUCCUUACAUGCCGCGUAUUAUGGUUAAAACGUUGCGGGCUUAAAGUGAAUUGUGGAGCGUAUUGAACUUGGUCAAUUUCUGAAAAGUUUAUAUUUUCCGUUAACCGUUUGGUUGUUAGGACUUAGUUUCGUUACGAAGAAUUUAUCAUAUGAUUUCCGACUGUGGGCUACACGAUAAUUUAUCAUAUCAUAUAACCGAUUUUACGAAGGUUGUAAAUCAGUGAUAUGUAAACAUAUGUCAAAGUAGCAUUGUUUCUGCGGGUUCCACGAGAAACGUUCCCGCUAUGAUUUUGAUCUUAGAUGAAAGUUGCUUGGAGUUACCCAUGGAGUAUUACCGAAGUUUAUUUCAAUACGAUCUAGUCGCGGAACGCUUUUCAUAGGUUUUUCGAGGGGAUUCUCAUGACACAUUCGUUUCUUGAACGAAUUGGUCAACCAGAAGUGGUUCUAGCUAACCAUAGGGAGGAAAAUGCUCCUUUUAAUGUGCACGAUGCUACAUAUAUUUUCGAGUUUUCUUCGUCGCAAAUGUUUCCGAUGCUUUUCCGUGACUUACUUGGUACAGCGGAAACUGAAAGAAACGCUUUGGUGAUUGAAGAUUUCUCGUAGAAAUUUUUAAAACGAAACUGGCUUUCUGAAGCCGGAAAAGGCUUCAAUACUUUGGCUAAUCGUCGAGUUUCAGUUUGAUAUUGGUACAAGUUUUCUGUAUGCAUGAUUGCGACAACAAAUGAUGUAUAGUUUUUGAGAUUAUGUUCAUGAUCGUCUGGAUAUGUUGCUAGCGUUUAGACGAAUAUUAAGAUUGUCGUUUGCCUAUUCUUGACGAUUUGCAGAAGUUUUUUUUUUGAAGUUUCGGAGUAUACGAGUAUAGUAUACGUACCUACUCCCCUUUUUUUUUUUACGAAAGAAAAACGGUUGAACCGAUACUUUGAAGGGUUCUGUACGUUUCCUCUCCUGAUGUUUGGAAUGAUCGAUAAUUCGGGACGAUUUAUAGACGACGCUUGGACUGUGAUUUGGUUGUUUCCACGUUGACGACUUGGGAUAUAUCGGUUCCGAGAAAAUUGCCAGAAACGAAUCGGUUUUAAGACUACGUUCAUGUCUCUAACUUUUUCUCUCUUUAGGAAGCGAGCUUGAUAUGCGUGGCGAUUGUUUCUCGACUUUCGGAGAGUUUAGAACGGUUUGCAAGAUCUGGAUGAACAAUUAUGGAACAAUAUAUCGAGACAGGAAAAAUCGCUUAAAACUUAGUUCGCUAGACUAUCCGCCUAGGUUUUACGUUCCCUAAAGUUCUAUGGCAGCCUCAAAGUAAUUUCCUACGAAAAUUCCAAGUCUGAUUUCAAAAAUUUCAAGUCGGAAAUACCUUAGUUCUUUCGAAGAUGCAGUUUUGUCCCUUCUCAGUUUUGCGUGCUCAUUUCCGUUUCCUAUUCUCGUGUAUGUUCGCCAUUUCGGAUAUUGGUGUUUAUCCUUUGAAACUUGACAUUUAUCUUCCAAACUUGACUGUUAUCUUCUCCUUAGAUAAGACGUCGAUUUUUGUAAAAAGGUUCAACGUAAUCGUAUAGUUAAGGCGGCUAAGGUGUUAAGUUAACCAUUGCCGUUUUAUACGAUUAAUCUGAAUCCAUGCGAGAAAAUAGGUCUUUGCGGUUUUUUUUUUUAUAUCGUAAAGUCUCAAUGGUAACUUCAAUCGAAAGAGACGUUUCGAUCGAGAUUCGAAAGUGAACGCAAAGAUGGAGGUAGGGUGAGCAGAAACAAGCCAAGGAGUUUAAGAUGAGGUUUACUUGUUUUUGUCGUAAAAUCUCAACGGAAACUCCGAUUGAGACGAAACGAAAAGCGUUUCGAUGAGAAUUCAAAGGAGAACGCAAAGGAGGACCCCUUUGAGGCCUGACAGGUCGCUAUAGCGAGUGAGGAUGUCAUCUCGGUCGCUAUAGCGAGUGGAAGGGAGCCGAGACGUAUCCCACUUGUUUUCGUCGUAAAAUCUCAACGGAAACUCCGAUUGAGACGAAACAAAAAGCGUUUCGAAGAGGAUUCAAAGGAGAACGCAAAGGAGGAACCCUUUGAGGACUUACAGGUUGCUACGCAGCGACUGACAGUCUGACAGUUCGCUACGUAGCGAAUGGAAGCAAGCCGAGAAGCGUCCUACUUGUUUUCGUCGUAAAAUCUCAACGGAAACUCCGAUUGAGACGAAACGAAAAGCGUUUCGAUGAGGAUUCAAAAGACAACCCAAAGGAGGACCUUUCUGAGGCCUUACAGGUCGCUACGUAGCGACUGACAGUCUGACAGGUCGCUACGUAGCGAGUGGAAGCAAGCCGAGACGAGUCCCACUUGUUUUCGUCGUCAAAACUCAACGGAAACUCCGAUUGAGACGAAACGAAAAGCAUUUCGAAGAGGAUUCAAAGGAGAACGCAAAGGAGGAACCCUUUGAGGACUUACAGGUCGCUACGUAGCGACUGACAGUCUGACAGGUCGCUACGUAGCGAAUGGAAGCAAGCCGAGAAGCGUCCUACUUGUUUUCGUCGUAAAAUCUCAACGGAAACUCCGAUUGAGACGAAACGAGAAGCGUUUCGACGAGGAUUCAAAAGAGAACCCAAAGGAGGACCUUUCUGAGGCCGUACAGGUCGCUAUGUAGCGAGUGGAGAGUUGGCUUGAGCUCGGUCACUUCAUAGCGACCAAGAAGUGUGCGUGCUCGGUCGCUACGUCGAGCAGCGUGUGCGUGCUCGGUCACUACGUAGCGACCGAGCAGUGUGCGUGCUCGGUCGCUACGUAGCGACCGAGCUGUGUAAUCGUUUUGUUGUGUUUCCUUUUUCCGCGAUUAACAUAGGGGUUUUUCAGCGGUUUUUUUGGGAGAACAAGUUUUAUCCUUCCGAAAUGUUUUCGGAAAACGUGUUUUGGUAAAACCCUUACGCAUCAAGAUUUCUUUACGGGGUUUUGAUAAGAUUUAUCGUUUCCCUUCUUCUUUACAGGGAGAAAUCGCGAGCCUGUUUUAGUGCUCUUCCUGUGGCGGAAGGUCGCGACUAAGUUUUCGAUUUUGUUGAAAACUACGGCGUUUGCGUAAGCGUUGGCCAUAGGAGCAGUCAGUGCUGCGAGUUUGUCUUUCAUAUAUCCAAACAUCGUUUCGAUCAAGCGUUUUGUGGCCAUGAGUAAGAGUAAUCCGUAACCCCACUCCUUCUAGCGCCAAACUGUGGAAACCGAAAUUCGCACUGUCGAUUUCCGUUUAAAUAAGGAAACUAGGAAAACCCUAAUUUCCCAGAGGUCCCGGAUCUCUGCGAGAGCCAACGACAAGUGACCGAAUAUAUGCGGAAAUCAUGAAAAGAUAACAAACGAGUUUAGAGAAAACAGUAGAUCUUAUUUCGAGUCCACGUAAGAGCGUUGCGAUCAUUACAAGAGAUCAUGAAAGCUUUGGCCGCAAAGGCUGUCAGCGAGUUACUUAGUUCUAGCGGCCUAAUAGCUCAAACCUAGUUUAGUCGCAGCUCGAUAACGAAAGACGAAAUAGAUAAAGAAAAGGUUUUUGAUUGAUUUCGGACUGAACCUUGUUAAAGGCUGCCUACGUACCCCUUUCGAGGAUCAAGCCGAACGUAGUUCAAUUGAUAGAGCUGGACACGAGAUCGAACUGCCUGGGCGAGUUCGUCUAGUAAUCGAGUGCCACUCAUAGAAACCGAACUUGUCGAAAAUAAGCCUAAGGUUUCUAAGUGCAGAGAAUUCUGAAUCUAAAAAGCUGUCCCCCAUGCUCCUCGCAUAGGACUCCUUAUAUACUAGCUCCAAGGUCGGUUUAUGCUUUUACUCUUCUGCCCUUAAGCAGUCACAGCGUAAAAAUGGAGAUAUUCCAUUUUUCCCGAUUUUCACAAUUAUCUUCAAAACUUCCGUAUUUAUCCGCGGAAACUUGACAUUUAUCCUUCCUUGUGGACCAAGCAUAAACCGGGCUGUGGUUUACGGGCCUUUGGUUAAGAAAUCGCAGGAUGGGCCUCGAGUCGUGUUUUAGGUCCCUUUGGGCCAUCUUCCGACUCGAAGAGUUUACUACGAUUUCUUUCGACAAAGAAAGAACUUUCCGCGGUUUCUAAUCCGCGAAGUUUGAUCGAUGAUUUAGAAUAGCGGAAAACAUAGACUGAGCUCGCUACGGUCUUCGGGAGAUAGCAUUUGAAGGUUUGACGAGAAUGCAUGGACUGGUGUCAUACCGAUGUUCGGAAGAGCUCGGUCGCUACGCAGCGACCGAACUUUGGCUCGAGCCCGAUCGCUACGUAGCAACCGAGCGAGACGGACGCUCGGUCGCUACGUAGCGACCGAGCUUGGCUCAGGCUCGGUCGCUACGUAGCGACCGAGCGAGAUGGACGCUCGGUCGCUACGUAGUGACCGAGCGAGACGGAUGCUUGGUCGCUACGUAGCGACCGAGCGAGAUGGACGCUCGGUCGCUACGUAGCGACCGAGCUUGGCUCGGGUGUUGGGGUCAAAAACGGUUACGACGGAAUUACCACCCGAAAAUCCUCGGAGAUCGUAUUUCCGAAAGAGAUAGUAAAAGAAGAGAUGUAAUUUUCGUAAAAAUAACCUAUACGAGGUUUUUACGAAGAAGUAUCCUUUGGGAUUCAAACCGAACAAACCAAGCUCGGUCGCUACGUAUACACGCCGUCCGGUCGCUACGUAGCAACCAAACCCGAGCCAAGCUCGGUCGCUACGCAGCGACCGAGCGAUCGUCCCUCUCGGUCGCUACGUAGCGCCGAGCGAUCGUCCCGCUCGGUUGCUACGUAGCGACCGAGCUCGAGCCAAAGCUCGGUCGCUACGUAGCGACCGAGCUCGAGCCAAAGCUCGGUCGCUACGUAGCGACCGAGCGAUCGUCCCUCUCGGUCGUUACGUAGCGACCGAGCGAUCGUCCCGCUCGGUCGCUACAUAGUGACCGAGCGAUCGUCCCGCUCGGUCGCUACGUAACGACCGAGCUCGAGCCAAAGCUCGGUUGCUACGUAGCGACCGAGCACUCGUCUCGCUUGGUCGCUACGUAGCGACCGGGCUCGAGCCAAAGUUAGGUCGCUGUGUAGCGAUUGAACCUUUCCGAACAUCGAUACAACACCAGUCCUUGCAUUCUCGUCAAACCUUCGAAUGCUAUCUCCCGAAGACCAUAGCAAGCUCAGUCCAUGUGUCCCGCUAUUCUAAUUCAUCGAUCAAACUUCGCGGAUUAGAAACCGUGGAAAACUCGUAGUAAAUGUGUCGAGUCGGAAGACGGCCCAAAGGGACCUAAAACACGACUCGAGGCCCAUCCUACGAUUUUUCCUAACCAAAAGCCCGUGAACCACAGCAUGGUUCACGCUUGGCCCACGAGGAAAGAUAAAUGUCAAGUUUCCGCGGAUAAAUACGGAAGUUUUGAAGAUAAUUGUGAAGAUCGGGGAAAAUGGAAUAUCUCCAUUUUUAUGCUAUGACGGCCUAAGGGUAGAAGAGUAAAAGCGUAAACCGACCUUGGAGCUAGUAUAUAAGGAGUCCUAGGCGAGGAGCAAGGAGGAGAAUUUUUCAGAGCAAACUUAGCACUUAGAGCAAUUUAGGCAAUUUUCCGUUUUUGUUAUUUCGAGCUGCGACUCAAUUAGGUUUAGCCGUCUUAGGGUUGCUAGAACUAGGAAUCUCGCCGACAGCUCUCGAGCCCAGGCUUAAACCUUGUUGUAAACGCUCAUACGCAGAUUCGGAAUAAGAUCUUCUUUGCUCUCUUUUCGAUUUCUUAUUUUUAUCGUUGUUGUUCUCGUGUUCUGAUUGCUUGACGUGUGGUAAUUAACAGAUAUCCGGGUCCUCAGGGAAAUUAGGGUUUUCCUAGUUUCCUUAUUUAAACGGAAAUCGACAGUGCGAAUUUCAGUUUCCACAUCGGGCUCGGUCGCUACGUAGCGACCGAGCGAGACGGACGCUCGGCCGCUACGUAGCGACCGAGCUUGGCUCAGGCUCGGACGCUCGGUCGCUACGUAGCGACCGAGCUUGGCUCAGGCUCGGACGCUCGGUCGCUAUGUAGCGACCGAGCUGUGUGCAUGCUUGGUCACCGCGUAUCGAUCGAGCUUGGCUUGUCCGCGGUCUGAUUUCCAUACUCGAGCUUGUCCGCAGCCGAUUUGGAUACAUGUCCGUUGCCUUCGGACAAUCGGUAUUUAGUGGUCCGAUUGAGAUUUGGAUGAGAUUUUUACUGCAAGGCUCUUCGUAAAGAUAUAUUUACGAAGAUUACUUUUCGUAAAACAUUUAUACUGAUUUUUACGGACUUUCAGACAUUUAUUCCGUCGUGACCGAUUUUGACCCCAACAAGGAUGCCUUUGGCCGAGACUUGUGCACAUGCGGGCUGCAUUUCAUCGGCCAAUCUGAAAUAUUAGGUUGAGAGUGAAUUUCACCAAGUAAAAAUCUUGAACCUCCGACGAGAUCUUCUUAUAUACUUGAAUUUUUUUAGGUUUUUUGUUUUUUAACGUUUUGGGGAGGAACAUGUGAUUGGAAAGGGGGAGGGUCGAAUCUUAGCGACAAAGGGCUAAAUCUCAGUGGAUCGUGGCAGCAAGGCCACUCUGCCACUUACAAUACCCCGUCGGGUAUUUAAGUCUUCUGCAAAGGAUUCUACCCGCCACUCGGUGGUAAUUAUAAUUCAAGGCGGUCCGAACGGCGCUUCCACCGAACGGACUUAGCCAACGACACGUGCCUUUGGGAGCCGAAGCUCCUACUGAGGGUCGGCAAUCGGGCGGCGGGCGCAUGCGUCGCUUCUAGCCCGGAUUCUGACUUAGAGGCGUUCAGUCAUAAUCCAGCGCACGGUAGCUUCGCACCACUGGCUUUUCAACCAAGCGCGAUGACCAAUUGUGCGAAUCAACGGUUCCUCUCGUACUAGGUUGAAUUACUAUUGCGACUGUCACGCCCCCAAUCCUGGAAAGGAUUGUCGGGACGGCCAUGGUUCGAGGAAACGUACUAGCCAGUCUUAGGACAUCAAGGCAAGCGUUCCAUGGUCAAGAAAGAAGGUUAAGGACAUAAGGAAACUUAGACUUAACCUUAUAAGAGCAAAGAGACGGCUAAGACGAGUAAGACGGUAACGGGACGAGAUAGAGAAGUAGCUCGACCAGCUUAACGAAGCUAGGUUGAGUUCACUCCAGCUCAGCCACUACUAAGUCAGCUCCACUGGCUGGACUACUAGCUCACUCAGCUGAGGCAGCUGGGAGUCAGCUCAUCUCAGCUAGAUGGACUGUUCGUGUUUUAGGCCGAUGGUCCGGGUCAGUGGCGGGCUGUGAGGUCCGGCCAUGAGGCCAUGGGCUGUUGGGUUCUUGGACAAGGCCGUGGGCUAAGUCCAGGAGGCUUGGGGCGUGGGUUGGGCUUAUGACCGACCCCAAACCCAAUCAGAAAGGGCGAAGGGAUGCAAGUGGCCGAGAGGGCACAACCCUUGGCCGAUGGUGCCCAUUCGCUAGCAAGUCGUGCCUGUUCGUGGGACAAGACUUACCCCCUCGUUUUCUAUAAAUAUGGGGGCUCUCCUGUCGAUUUCAUUAUCCAUUUCCAGAGUAAAAUACUCAGAGAAAAACGUAGAGAGAGAGAGAGAGAGUCCCGGCCAAGAGAUCGGCCGGAAAAGGGCCGGUCGUGGUGGUUUAGUAUCUCCGGCAAGGAGAACGGUUUAGGAGAGAGGAGGCCGUGUGGUUAUGAAUACCCAAGGCAUAGAGAAAGGUCUGGAGAAGGACUCCAAAGCCGUGGUUCAGUCAGAUAGGGUCAGUGGGGUAACCACCGACUCAUCGGCUAAGACCAUCGGACAGUCUGAACCGGUCUAGCCAUGGGCGUUUGGAUUGUAUCCUAUUCUUCUUAUUCUUUUCAUCUAGUUCUUCUUCUACUCCUUCUGUACAUUGGCGUGGCCUUGUUGAUGUGUUGGGAUUGGUUAUAAGUUAUAACCGUGGUUCUGGUUGAGUAAUGCGGUCGCGGUCCAUAACCGUCGAGUUAGGCGCGCGCAUGGUCUAAACCGGCCUCAGGUGAUCCGAUUGGAUAGGGGCGGUUCUGUUCUGUUCUGAACGGGGGCAACCCUUCCCUGAACAGUCACAAUGGUUCAUGACUUGUGUAGGAUAAGGCGUGGUCCUUUGGCCAUAGGCCGGACACACGCACGGACCAGACAGUCCAUACGGACGGUUAGGUCGAACGGUUGGAACAUCUGAAUGGGUGCGAGUUGCCAAGGGUCAUGACUUACCAAGAGGCACGUGUGUCCAAAGGGUACUAGUUCCCAAAGGGUGUGAGUUCCAAACGGUGCCAUUGGUUCAAGGCUUAGGCCGAACCAAGUGGACAGUCCGCGGCUGCAUAGUCGAACGGACGGACGGUUAGUUUAACCGGAGUGUUGUGUCGCAAGGUCUGAUUGGUUGCAAGGCAAUCCGGUUUGGUCUUGGGCCUUACUCUGUGGUAUGGAUCCAGGCUUUGGGUCGGAUCAGGUAAGAAGGUCCGUGAGCCUUUGGGCCGGACUUAUAAUUGGCCGAUCGCACCUAGAUCUUAAUCAGACGGUUAGACGGGACUAUGGACAAUCCGGCUAAGGUUGGAUGGUUCUAGCCGCAAAGGCUAAGUAGGAUAUCUUACAAUCAACCUCGGGUUGGUGAGUAGGAUAGGCGCCAUAUGCCUUAUGUAGGGCGUAGACCCACAUAAUGGCAAUGGAAGGCCGGUCAUAUCAGUGCAUGCUAAGUGGACGAUGGCUUAUCAAGUCUAGUGGUCGGAUCAUGUUUCAUGACGAUGGUUCGAUGGCCGAACACUAGUAUGGAUAAUCAUGAUGCUUCUAGAUAUCAACCUUGGUGUUGAUAACUUCGAGAUUGGCUAAGAGUCAUGACGAAGAGUAUGGCUAGUACUAUGUGUCGUAGACCAUAAGUAUUGAGCUUAGGUGUGAUUGUUCAAGGAAGGCCGUGUAAGAUCUGAUCAUGGUUGAGUAUGGACGACCUGACCUCUGAAUGAUGGCUCAAGGUGUCGGUCCUAACCUGAUUAAUGAAUGCAUCGGUUGGUAUGAACAAAUCAUAUCUGUUGUCUGGGUUAAGUCCCAAGGCCGGUCAGGCCAGAUGAUGACUCAUCAGUUCCAAGUCAUGUGAGGAUGGUUGGUUGAUUGACUUAGGAUCUCAUGAGCUUUUUCAGUCCAGAAGAUGGACUUGGUACAAUUGCCUAUAAGGCAAAAAGGAUUUUGGAUUGUGCUUGAGCCGAGAUAGGCCAAAUACAUACCCUUAUCCUUUCAAAGACUUCUCAAAGGUUACUUAUGUCGGUGGGGAUGGUUGGUUGAAUGACUAAGUACCUAGGGGAGCUGUUUGAUGCAGGAGUCAAGAUAAGGACCUUAAGUAAGAUCAUUGAGUGAUCGUGGUCCAGCUGUUAAGCAAGAGCGAUUCGAGUCAAUGGAGGACCGAUGAGCUAAUAAGCUCCGUAGAUGUGGCAAAGGUAUGAUCUAGCAUUUACUUAUGUAGAUCUAGAUAGAAUGGUUUAGGGGAAUGGAACCUCAGAAUUGUAUGGCUUGGUUUGGGUUUAGGAUUGACCUUUAAGCUAAUUGGUAGUUGAGUAAACUGACCAAGGCUAAGGUGAUUCGACCAGACAAGUGUUUUGAUUGGUUUUAGACCAAUGGUUAACUACAGAAUAAUCCGCUGCGUAUCUGUUGAUAGGAUCUAGGCUAUUAAUGACUAGGGAAGUCUUUAGCUAAGAUCUAAGUUAGCCCUCGCCUUUAGGCGAUAUUAUAAAUAAAGGGCGAAAAUUA
rnacentral:lncRNA from 1 species